rnacentral:rRNA from 1 species
CUUUUCCUACGGGGGGCAGCAGUGGGGAAUAUUGCACAAUGGGGGAAACCCUGAUGCAGCGACGCCGCGUGAGCGAUGAAGUAUUUCGGUAUGUAAAGCUCUAUCAGCAGGGAAGAAGAUGACGGUACCUGACUAAGAAGCCCUGGCUAACUACGUGCCAGCAGCCGCGGUAAUACGUAGGGGGCAAGCGUUAUCCGGAUUUACUGGGUGUAAAGGGAGCGUAGACGGCGAUGCAAGCCAGAUGUGAAAGCCCGGGGCUCAACCCCGGGACUGCUCUUGGAACUGCGCGGCUGGAGUGCAGGAGG